CUGAUGCAGAAAGAGAAACUGCUCGUCCUCCACCCUGGGUCUUUCUAAAGCAGAAGUAUUGAUAUAUUUAAUCUUCUACAGGAUAUUCAAAUAGAAGCCUUGCUGAUGAGAGCCUGUGAGCCCAUAAUUCAGAACUUCUGCCACGAUGUGGCAGAUAACCAGAUAGACUCUGGGGACCUGAUGGAGUGUCUGAUACAGAACAAACACCAGAAGGACAUGAACGAGAAGUGUGCCAUCGGAGUCACCCACUUCCAGCUGGUGCAGAUGAAGGAUUUUCGGUUUUCUUACAAGUUUAAAAUGGCCUGCAAGGAGGACGUGUUGAAGCUUUGCCCAAACAUAAAAAAGAAGGUGGACGUGGUGAUCUGCCUGAGCACGACCGUGCGCAACGACACUCUGCAGGAAGCCAAGGAGCACAGGGUGUCCCUGAAGUGCCGCAGGCAGCUCCGCGUGGAGGAGCUGGAGAUGACGGAGGACAUACGCCUGGAGCCAGAUCUGUAUGAAGCCUGCAAGAGUGACAUCAAAAACUACUGUUCCACUGUGCAAUAUGGCAACGCU
rnacentral:sRNA from 1 species